GCGUGAGGGAGGAGGCUCUUGGGUCGUAAACCUCUUUUCUCAGGGAAGAACACAAUGACGGUACCUGAGGAAUAAGCAUCGGCUAACUCCGUGCCAGCAGCCGCGGUAAUACGGAGGAUGCAAGCGUUAUCCGGAAUGAUUGGGCGUAAAGCGUCCGCAGGUGGCAAUGUAAGUCUGCUGUUAAAGAGUGAGGCUCAACCUCAUAAGAGCAGUGGAAACUACAUAGCUAGAGUACGUUCGGGGCAGAGGGAAUUCCUGGUGUAGCGGUGAAAUGCGUAGAGAUCAGGAAGAACACCGGUGGCGAAGGCGCUCUGCUAGGCCGUAACUGACACUGAGGGACGAAAGCUAGGGGAGCGAAUGGGAUUAGAUACCCCAGUAGUCCUAGCCGUAAACGAUGGAUACUAGGCGUGGCUUGUAUCGACCCGAGCCGUGCCGUAGCUAACGCGUUAAGUAUCCCGCCUGGGGGAGUACGCCGGGCAACGGUGAAACUCAAAAGGAAUUGACGGGGGCCCCGCACAAGCGGUGGAGUAUGUGGUUUAAUUCGAUGCAACGCGAAGAACCUUACCAAGGCUUGACAUGUCGCGAAUCCUGGUGAAAGCUGGGAGUGCCUUCGGGAGCGCGAACACAGGUGGUGCAUGGCUGUCGUCAGCUCGUGUCGUGAGAUGUUGGGGUUAAGUCCCGCAACGAGCGCAACCCUCGUUUUUUAGUUGCCAGCAUUAAGUUGGGCACUCUAGAGAGACUGCCGGUGACAAACCGGAGGAAGGUGGGGAUGACGUCAAGUCAGCAUGCCCCUUACGCCUUGGGCUACACACGUACUACAAUGCUCCGGACAAAGGGCAGCUACACAGCGAUGUGAUGCAAAUCUCAUAAACCGGAGCUCAGUUCAGAUCGCAGGCUGCAACUCGCCUGCGUGAAGGAGGAAUCGCUAGUAAUUGCAGGUCAGCAUACUGCAGUGAAUUCGUUCCCGGGCCUUGUACACACCGCCCGUCACACCAUGGAAGCUGGUAGUGCCCGAAGUCAUUACUCCAACCGUUCGCGGAGGAGGAUGCCUAAGGCAGGACUGGUGACUGGGGUGAAGUCGUAACAAGGUAGCCGUACCGGAAGGUGUGGCUGGAUCACCUCCU
rnacentral:rRNA from 1 species